rnacentral:misc_RNA from 1 species
GAUAAGAGGGGAUGAGCAAUUGGACAAGAGGGUAUGAGCCAGCCACGCACCAAGAACCGAAUCGAGAGGAAUUGGAGAAGAAGGGGUGGUAGCGAGGGUGAGGGAUUUUAUCGGCAACGAAGUAGGAGGAGGAAGAGGAAGGGGAAAGGAUAAUAAGAAAAGGAAGGGAGGGAAACGAACAGAAAAGGAAGAAGAGGAGGAAAAAGAUGAUGAUCACAUGAAGCCCACACACGGUAAACAGAGGGACCUUCGAUAAUUAAGCUAAAAAAUAAGGAAAUGAUAAAGCAUCA